rnacentral:rRNA from 1 species
GGGAGACUUGUCCUCCUUUGCUUGUACCUUGCGAAUAAGGAUCGGCUAACUCCGUGCCAGCAGCCGCGGUAAUACGGAGGAUCCGAGCGUUAUCCGGAUUUAUUGGGUUUAAAGGGUGCGCAGGCGGGAUGUUAAGUCGGCGGUGAAAUUUUGCAGCUCAACUGUAAAAGUGCCUUCGAUACUGGCUUUCUUGAGUGUGGAUGAAGUAGGCGGAAUUUGUGGUGUAGCGGUGAAAUGCUUACAUAUCACGAGGAACUCCGAUUGCGCAGGCAGCUUACUAAACCACUACUGACGCUCAUGCACGAAGGCGUGGGGAUCAAACAGGAUUAGAUACCCUGGUAGUCCACGCAGUAAACGAUGAUUACUAUUUGUUUGCGAUACGAUGUAAGCGACUGAGCGAAAGCGUUAAGUAAUCCACCUGGGGAGUACGUUCGCAAGAAUGAAACUCAAAUGAAUUGACGGUACUUGGAGGACCGU